AGUGAACGCUGGCGGUAGGCCUAACACAUGCAAGUCGAACGGCAGCACAGUAAGAGCUUGCUCUUACGGGUGGCGAGUGGCGGACGGGUGAGGAAUACAUCGGAAUCUACUUUUUCGUGGGGGAUAACGUAGGGAAACUUACGCUAAUACCGCAUACGACCUACGGGUGAAAGCAGGGAUCUUCGGACCUUGCGCGAUUGAAUGAGCCGAUGUCGGAUUAGCUAGUUGGCGGGGUAAAGGCCCACCAAGGCGACGAUCCGUAGCUGGUCUGAGAGGAUGAUCAGCCACACUGGAACUGAGACACGGUCCAGACUCCUACGGGAGGCAGCAGUGGGGAAUAUUAGACAAUGGGCGCAAGCCUGAUCCAGCCAUACCGCGUGGGUGAAGAAGGCCUUCGGGUUGUAAAGCCCUUUUGUUGGGAAAGAAAAGCAGCAGGUUAAUACCCCGCUGUUCUGACGGUACCCAAAGAAUAAGCACCGGCUAACUUCGUG
rnacentral:rRNA from 1 species